CCUACGGGUGGCAGCAGUGAGGAAUAUUGGUCAAUGGACGAGAGUCUGAACCAGCCAAGUAGCGUGAAGGAUGACUGCCCUAUGGGUUGUAAACUUCUUUUAUAUGGGAAUAAAAUGUUCCACGUGUGGGAUUUUGUAUGUACCAUAUGAAUAAGGAUCGGCUAACUCCGUGCCAGCAGCCGCGGUAAUACGGAGGAUCCGAGCGUUAUCCGGAUUUAUUGGGUUUAAAGGGAGCGUAGGUGGAUUGUUAAGUCAGUUGUGAAAGUUUGCCGCUCAACCGUAAAAUUGCAGUUGAAACUGGCAGUCUUGAGUACAGUCGAGGUGGGCGGAAUUCGUGUUGUAGCGGUUACAUGCUUAGAUAUCACGAAGAACUCCGAUUGCGAAGGCAGUUCACUGGACUGCACCUGACACUGAGGCUCGAAAGUGUGGGUAUCAAACAGGAUUAGCUACCCUUGUAGUC
rnacentral:rRNA from 1 species